rnacentral:lncRNA from 1 species
ACUAGGUUAUGUGGUCAGUGCUAAAUGCCACUGAAUCCUUCCAGGCUUCCCAUUCCUUCCACAUACACAGUGCUCAUCAUUAGACCACCUUAGGUUUUUAUUCUCACCUUCAUGAUUGUGCCACCAUGACCUGGAUCUCUUCCUGGUCAUAUGUCUGGGGACAUGGCUCUCCACAUGUAGCAGUCCCUUGAUUCUGAGUGACAAGCAGGAAGAAGAAGCUUCCUCCUGAAGUGUUGCUAGAGGGAGAUGCAGGCUGUCUCUUUAGCUUUGUUUCUGAAAGGAGCAAGCUUACCCCUGCAUCUGCAUCUGCAGUUUUGUGAUCAUUUCACUGCCAAAGGGAUAAGAGCCCAUGUUAUCCUCAAAACCAAACUGAAGCCUGGAUUAGCCAGCUGAAUUCUGUUGUGUGUCUUCUCAUCCAUCAUUGCCUGGAGUGGAGGGAAAUCACGAAAUCACUCCCAAAUGCAGACUCUUAGGGUGAGGCCAGCCAGCCUUUCAGUGAAGCUGCCUGAAAAUCGUACUGAGAAAAACAGUGCAGAAAAGCUCCUGAUGCCAAAAGAGAAAAUUCCAUCUCUGUGGACCACUUCAGAGAUUCAAAGCUCUUUGAGGACCAUGACUGCGGUGUGAAUGGGCUACAGCCUGUAGCCAAUAGGAAACGCUGAAGAAGAACAAGAAAGAGGCCAUCAUUAACACAAACGAUGUCAUCAAGGAAAUAAAUAUAUGAUAGAAAAAAGAUCCA